rnacentral:rRNA from 1 species
UACGUAGGGCGCAAGCGUUGUCCGGAAUUAUUGGGCGUAAAGAGCUCGUAGGUGGCUUGUCGCGUCUGCCGUGAAAGCCCGUGGCUUAACUACGGGUCUGCGGUGGAUACGGGCAGGCUAGAGGCUGGUAGGGGCAAGCGGAAUUCCUGGUGUAGCGGUGAAAUGCGCAGAUAUCAGGAGGAACACCGGUGGCGAAGGCGGCUUGCUGGGCCAGUUCUGACGCUGAGGAGCGAAAGCGUGGGGAGCAAACAGG